rnacentral:rRNA from 2 species
GACGAGGGAUCCUAGCGUUGUUCGGAAUCAUUGGGCGUAAAGCGGGUGUAGGUGGGCUUCUAAGUCAGGUGUGAAAUCCCAGGGCUCAACCCUGGAAGUGCAUUUGAUACUGGAAGUCUUGAGUGUGGUAGAGGUUACUGGAAUUGUUGGUGUAGUGGUGAAAUACGUAGAUAUCAACAGGAAUACCGGAGGCGAAGGCGAGUAACUGGGCCAACACUGACACUGAGACCCGAAAGCGUGGGGAUCAAACAGG